GGGCAUCUACAAGGAUGACAUUGCUCAGGUGGACUACGUGGAGCCCAGCCAGAACACCAUCUCCCUGAAGAUGAUCCCACGCAUCGACUACGAUCGCAUCAAGGCCCGCAUGAGCUUGAAAGACUGGUUUGCCAAAAGGAAGAAGUUUAAGCGGCCUCCACAGAGGCUGUUUGAUGCUGAGAAGAUCAGGUCCCUGGGGGGU
rnacentral:misc_RNA from 1 species